CGGCGGACGGGUGAGUAACGCGUGGGUAACCUGCCUCAUACAGGGGGAUAACAGUUAGGAAUGACUGCUAAUACCGCAUAAGACCACGGUACCGCAUGGUACAGUGGUAAAAACUCCGGUGGUAUGAGAUGGACCCGCGUCUGAUUAGGUAGUUGGUGGGGUAACGGCCUACCAAGCCGACGAUCAGUAGCCGACCUGAGAGGGUGACCGGCCACAUUGGGACUGAGACACGGCCCAG
rnacentral:rRNA from 1 species